AGCCCCGAGGAGGCGAAGGGCCCCAGCUUGGGCUCUGCAGGCUGGCGCUCGCUGGGGCUGGGCUCAGAGGGGGACUCCGGUCUGAAGCGGGAGGCCGGGAGCCGCCGCGGCAGGAGGAGGGUGCAGAGCAGGUUUUCAAACCCAUCCGUUCAUAGGGGAGCAGGCGAGGGAGGGGCAAGGGAGCAGCCUGCUUGUUAAUUGCUUUAAUUAACUAGGCUUGCUCUGGGCAGGAUCCCACACCGAGCACGCCACGUUCGGGGCUGUGCCGGCCACACGGAGGGCAGGUGCCCCGUCACGCCGCAGCAAGGGCAGCUGCAACCGCCCCCUCCUGUCCCACCGCCCCGACUGGAGCAACCAGACAGGCCUGGGGCAUUGCUCUGCUCCAAAGGUGGCUCCCAGGUGGUUCCCCCGUCCCCCAGACGGCAAGGGUCACAUCCAGGAGACACCCUGGCUGGGCAGCACCUGGACACGGUGGCUUUUGGGACAGCCCAGAGCCAUCACACCUUGGUUCCUCGCAGGCUCUGGGCAAGGGAGGGCCAGGACGGGCUCCCAACAGGGCUCAGGGUCACAGGUAGAGCCCUCGCGUCCCGAUAAUCAGUGCAGUUGCACCGGGCUGCCAGGACGCUCCUGCGCCGUGCAGGACCAGGCAAGGUGGUGUGUGUGGGAUCUGGCCCUCGGGCGAUCGCUCAGCCCGUGCUCAAGUGACGCAAUGGAAAGCGGCAAGCAGGAGCGCGCCUUGCCCCUACUUGCAGCUCUUCCAGCUCGAGGGCUCGAUGGGGGAGAUAAACGGCCUGGAUGGGACGGCAGGACAAGUUCCAACACUGCUUCCCAGYGCCUGCUGCCAACUCCGGAGCGUGAGAAAAUACCAGGCAAGGAGGGAAGGAUCAGCAUCGCACGGAUGUUUAGAGGCAGCGAUCCGGUACCAAACCCCGGCAGGACUCUCCCGGCCACAGGCCAACCCGGAGCACCGAGGUCCGAUCACGGAAACGCAGCCAAGCGCCUCCAGCCCCGCUGCCAGCCCGACCUGCCGGUGCCUCGCCUGCAUCCCUGCCCGGCACGCGGCUCCCUUGCCAUCCCCGCCACUGCGAUCCUGCCCGGUGCGCGGCUCCCUUGCUGUGGCAUUCCCGCUCCCUGGGAAGGGCAGAGGCAAAGACAAGAACAGGCAGCACGACUGUUCGACGGCUCCUCGCCAACGCCGGAUGAGGUUCGGCUUUUGGGCAGGAGAUCGGCCGGUGGCUUUUUCCAUCCGGAGCAGCUCCUCCAUGCCGGCCCGGCUUCGUGCCGCACUCUYGCUCUGCCCCGUGCCAGGGAACUGGGCGACAGGAAGCUUGGGAGCGAGUGGAAAGAGGCCAGGAAAUCGGAGGAGGAAGCUGGAAGAAGGCUGUUCCCGYGGUGGCCUGAACCAAACGUCAGCCGAAACACGACGGCGGGGAGCUCUGAAACGCCGGGUCAAACGGCGGCAGGUCAGGGCACCGGCGGGAAAAAAGAAGUCUAAAAAGUGCUAAGCAGGAGAUUGGAAAAACAAAACGUUUGGGGUCCGUUUUGCUGCACCCCCCAGGCACAGAGCGGCCGGAGGAGGAACAGCGAACGCCUCUCCCGGGCGAACCGCAAGCAAAGCGCCCGGCGAGGGCUGGAGCCAUCCCUAAGGGAAAGAAGGGAAGAGGAAAACCAACUUCGCCCUGGAGCUCAUGAGAUCCACCUGGCCGCAGGCAGUCGGAAGAGGCGGAUUUUCGUGCCACGGGGCUACAGCAGUGAGACCAGCGUGGCAGAAAUAUCCUUGCGUAGCGACUCGAUGCUCGCAAAGGCGCCCGCCGAGGAUGGGUGGUUCCCGCGGGGCUGCAAACGUGCUUCCUCUGUGCAGGCUAAAAAUAGCCGGCAGCGCACAAAGAAACGAGGCGCUGGGUGCACCUCCGCAGGAACCGGGCACGGCGGGAGGAAGAUCUYGACACGGCUUCUGGGUAGAUGUUGCAAGAACGACUUAUUUCCAUGCAACGUGUGCUCCCGUUUCGGGGCUCCUUUUGUUUCCGCAGGAGAUUUGCGCUUGAAAAGCCGGUGUCAAAUUUGCAUGCACAAACAUAUAUGCAGCCAGUCUAGAGACAGAAAUGAUGCCCGCUGGUUUUCAGAGCAACCCCAGCUUCCCAUUGCGCACCUAGCAGGCAGAUCCACAGAGCAGUGACUGGCUGAUCUCUCACACCGGCCUGGAGCGCUCCGUGAAAGCCGUACGGCAAAUCCACCAUUAUCCCAUGCACUGAACCCGCGCCCCAUCGUGGAGCAAAUACCUCUGUCCCGCCUUGUGAUUAAUGAUCCUCUGCUGAGAUUUCCCAGAAAGAGAAAAGCGUCUUUCCAAUGCAAGGAGCUCGUUUCUAACGACAGGGCGCUAACAGCUCCCGCCGCGCAUUGCAAAAGGGGCUCUGACCAUGAACUCCCGCUCCGGAGGCCGACUUUGCCGUGCCGACGCCGGCAAAGCGGUGAUGCCCCCGCACAAAGAGCCAGCU
rnacentral:lncRNA from 1 species